AUACAUACAUACAUACAGAAAGAUAAAAAAAGUAUAAUAAGCUGGCUACGCAGUGAGCUUCACUGCCCCCGCGCCACCUACCUACUCAGCUAUACCUACCUACCGUCCAGCUCUGCUCCGCCCGCGCCGCGCGGCGGAGCCAUGGCCGCGGCGGCGCUCCGCUUCCCGCCGCUCCUCUCCUCGUGCGCCACGCCUACCACCACAGCCGCCACCUGCACCCGGAGGACGGCGUCAGCCACCCUCAGGGUCGCCGCGCAGCCCGGAUCCGCCCCCGCCUCUGCCUCCACCUCCACCUCCGACGGGCCGCCGGAGUUCUCGCCGCCGGACGGGUUCACGCCUCCGGUGCCCAGGCGCUUGGCUAUCAAGGAUGGGCAGCUCGGAAGCGUCGCCGGCGCGGCCCUCGCCGUGCCUUUCCGCCUCGGCACCGGCCUCUUCGUCCAAGGAUACUCGGUAUCACUAGUCUCUGCUGACAAAAUACCCGCAGACCAAUAUUCGCUGGAAUUUCUAGGUCUAAAGGUGAGGGAGACCUCAAAGAUAGAUCAGUGCCGUCGACCAGAAAAACCUAUUGAGAUAUACGAGUUUGAAGGCUGUCCAUUUUGUCGAAAGGUGAGAGAGAUGGUAGCCGUCUUGGACCUUGAUGUUUUAUUUUAUCCCUGUCCACAAAAGGGGCCAACAUUUCGUCCAAAGGUUUUGGAGAUGGGAGGAAAGAAACAGUUCCCUUACAUGGUGGAUCCAAACACAGGAGUUGCCAUGUAUGAAUCAGAUGACAUCAUAAAAUACCUUGCGGACACAUACGGUGAUGGAACUAUUCCAAUUAUGCUAUCGCUUGGUCUAUUUACGACAAUAACAGCAGGGCUUGCUACGAUUUGGCGUAUAUGGAAGGGAUCUUCAUACACUGUUUCAAAGCUUCCACCCCAGCCGAUAGAGAUCUGGGCAUACGAGGGCUCUCCUUUCUGUAAAAUAGCACGAGAGGCCCUUGUUGAAUUGGAGUUGCCACACUUGCUACACAGGUAUUCGAUAAUGAAAACUUCACAACGCAUCUGUAAAUAGCUGUGCACGUGGCAGCCCCAAGCGACAGGAAAUUUUUAAGAAACUUGGCCUUUUCCAGGUUCCUUAUAUCGAGGAUCCUAACACGGGGGUCAAAAUGUUCGAAAGCUCUGAGAUCGUAGAGUACCUAAAGGCAACAUAUUCACUCUAUCCUCAGUAAACAUGUCGCCCGAGAUCUCUGAAUUGUCCAUAUAUAGUAAGGAUUUAUAAUUUAUUCUUUACAAUAAAACACUGAGUCCAAAUGCAGUGUACAAGUUGUGUUCAUCCAGUUGCUAUAUAUUGCUCUGCUUGGGGCUUGUAUGGUAGAUAAGGAAGAACCGGGCAAAGUGUAUUGUCGAAGUUCCGUCGAUUAUCGCCCUUCAAGUAUUGUGAAACUGUGUGGAGAUGAAACUUUGUAGCACGGGAAACAUGUCGGGUUUAUGAAGCAAAGAUGUACAUAUAUACUGUC